AUUGAACGCUGGCGGCAGGCCUAACACACGCAAGUCGAGCGGUAGAGAGAAGCUUGCUUCUCUUGAGAGCGGCGGACGGGUGAGUAAAGCCUAGGAAUCUGCCUGGUAGUGGGGGAUAACGUUCGGAAACGGACGCUAAUACCGCAUACGUCCUACGGGAGAAAGCAGGGGAUCUUCGGGCCUUGCGCUAUCAGAUGAGCCUAGGUCGGAUUAGCUAGUUGGUGAGGUAAUGGCUCACCAAGGCGACGAUCCGUAACUGGUCUGAGAGGAUGAUCAGUCACACUGGAACUGAGACACGGUCUAGACUCCUACGGGAGGCAGCAGUGGGGAAUAUUGGACAAUGGGCGAAAGCCUGAUCCAGCCAUGCCGCGUGUGUGAAGAAGGUCUUCGGAUUGUAAAGCACUUUAAGUUGGGAGGAAGGGCAUUAACCUAAUACGUUAGUGUUUUGACGUUACCGACAGAAUAAGCACCGGCUAACUCUGUGCCAGCCGCCGCCGUAA
rnacentral:rRNA from 1 species